GGGUUCAUGGCCUAAUGGUAAGGCGUCAGAUUUCGGUCCCAUCUAUGGUAUACCAGUUCUCUGAAGAUUGCAGGUUCGAUCCCUGCUGAGCUCG